rfam:Ictidomys tridecemlineatus contig070370, whole genome shotgun sequence.
GGGGUUAUGGCUCAGCGGUAGAGCACUCGCCUGGUGCGUGCGAGGCCCUGAGUUCAAUCCUCAGCACCA